rnacentral:rRNA from 1 species
AUACGUAGGUGGCAAGCGUUAUCCGGAUUUAUUGGGUUUAAAGGGAGCGUAGGCCGUCUGUUAAGCGUGUUGUGAAAUGUAGAUGCUCAACAUCUGAAUUGCAGCGCGAACUGGCAGACUUGAGUGUGCGCAACGUAGGCGGAAUUCGUGGUGUAGCGGUGAAAUGCUUAGAUAUCACGAAGAACUCCAAUUGCGAAGGCAGCUUACGGGAGCACAACUGACGCUGAAGCUCGAAAGUGCGGGUAUCGAACAGGAUUAGAUACCCUGGUAGUCCGCACGGUAAACGAUGGAUGCCCGCUGUUGACCCACCUGGGCCAGCGGCCAAGCGAAAGCAUUAAGCAUCCCACCUGGGGAGUACGCCGGCAACGGUGAA